CCUACGGGAGGCAGCAGUGAGGAAUAUUGGUCAAUGGACGAGAGCCUGAACCAGCCAAGUAGCGUGAAGGAUGACUGCCCUAUGGGUUGUAAACUUCUUUUAUAUGGGAAUAAAAUGUUCCACGUGUGCGUUUUUGUAUGUACUUUAUGAAUAAGGAUCGGCUAACUCCGUGCCAGCAGCCGCGGUAAUACGGAGGAUCCGAGCGUUAUCCGGAUUUAUUGGGUUUAAAGGGAGCGUAGAUGGGUUGUUAAGUCAGUUGUGAAAGUUUGCGGCUCAACCGUAAAAUUGCAGUUGAUACUGGCAGCCUUGAGUACAGUUGAGGUAGGCGGAAUUCGUGGUGUAGCGGUGAAAUGCUUAGAUAUCACGAAGAACUCCGAUUGCGAAGGCAGUUCACUAGACUGCAACUGACACUGAGGCUCGAAAGUGUGGGUAUCAAACAGGAUUAGAUACCCUAGUAGUC
rnacentral:rRNA from 1 species